rnacentral:tRNA from 1 species
GGUCCUUUGGGGUAAUGGCUAUCCUUCCUGACUGUCUAUCAGGCGAUACGGGUUCAAUUCCCGUAAGGACCG